GCUAAAAAUCUAGCCCCUCCCCCUCGCAUUAACCCAACAAACUAAAUUUAUUGAUUAAAACAUUCUUAUAUCUUAGUAAAGGCGAUUAAAAAAUUAUUAGGCGCAAUAAAAAUAGUACCGCAAGGGAAAGAUGAAAUAAAAGUGAAAUAAAUUUUAUGCACGAAAAAGUAGAGAUUAACUCUCGUACCUUUUGCAUCAUGAUUUAACUAGUCAAACCAAGCAAAAAGACCUAUAGUUUGACCCCCCGAAACUAAGCGAGCUACUUCAGGGCAGCUUUAUGAGCUAACCCGUCUCUGUUGCAAAAGAGUGAGAAGACCCCCUAGUAGUGGUGAUAUACCUAACGAGCUUGGUGAUAGCUGGUUACUCAAGAAAAGAAUUUCAGUCCGACCUAAAGAAUAUAAAAUAACUUUAAAUAACCCACCUUUAGAGCCAUUCAAAUAAGGUACAGCCUAUUUGAAACAGGAUACAACCUAGACCGAGGGGUAAUCACUUUCGUAACAACCAAGUGGGCUUAAAAGCAGCCACCUUUAAAAUAGCGUCAAAGCUUUAUUGUUUACUUACCCAAUUCCAUAAACUACCCAGAACCCUCCCCCCGUAUUGAGUACUUCUAUACCCUUAUAGAAUUUUUAAUGUUAAAACUAGUAACAAGAAGAAGACCUCCUCUUUGAUGCAAGUGUAAAUCAUAAAGGACACACCAAUGACCAUUAACAUACAUGAACACAAAUUAGCAACGCUUCAAGAAAACCCUACUUUAUACUAUGUUAACCUAACACAAGAGCAUCACAAGAAAGAUUAAAAGAAAAAGAAGGAACUCGGCAAAUAUCAACCUCGCCUGUUUACCAAAAACAUCGCCUCUUGACUUAACAUAAGAGGUCCAGCCUGCCCAGUGACUCUGUUCAACGGCCGCGGUAUUUUAACCGUGCGAAGGUAGCGUAAUCACUUGUCCUCUAAAUAAGGACCAGUAUGAACGGCACCACGAAGGUUGUGCUGUCUCCUUUUUCUAAUCAGUGAAUCUAAUCUCCCCGUGAAGAAGCGGGAAUAAAACUAUAAGACGAGAAGACCCUAUGGAGCUUUAAACUAAGUAACAGCCACUUGUAAUAUUCGUACAUUUCAGAAUAACAACACAUAGCUAACCGCAUGAUUACUAGUUUUAGGUUGGGGUGACCACGGAGAAAAAAAUAACCUCCACAUUGAACAGGGCCUAACUCCUGAGCCACGGGCCACAACCCUAAGCACCAAUAAAUUGACAUUUAUUGACCCAAUACUUUGACCAACGAACCAAGUUACCCUAGGGAUAACAGCGCAAUCCGCUUAAAGAGCCCCUAUCGACAAGCGGGUUUACGACCUCGAUGUUGGAUCAGGGUACCCCAGUGGUGCAGCCGCUACUAAAGGUUCGUUUGUUCAACGAUUAAAACCCU
rnacentral:rRNA from 1 species